ACACUAGUACGGCAAUAUGUAAAUCAAUGGAUGUGUAACUGAUGUGAUUCUGCAAUCUGUGUAUGGGGUGAAGGUGGGAGUUCAUAACCCACUUGAAUCAAAGUGUGGAAUAUGAUAUGUCAAGAAAUUUGUAAUGUUUUGAACAACCAACAAUAAAAAAUUAAAAAAAAAAAAAGAAAGAAAGAAAAAAAAAAAAGGAUUGCAUUAGGUAUUCUGGGCCUGAAAGAUACCUUCUCAUGCUCUACCUAGUCUUACUGAAUCAGAAACUACUGGGGUUAACCCAGCAAUUGUAGUCUUAUUAAAGCCUCCAAGUGAGUCUCAAUCACAGUAAGGUUUGAAAACCACCAGUGCAGCCUAUAUCUCUUCAAUGCAAUUUUCAUUGUUUAUAGAAAAGAAUGGUAUAAUGCGAUAAUAAGGAUUUGAAAAGACUAGAAGAGUCGAAAAUCACUGCUAUAAGAAAUUUAACGAAGGCAAAAAAAAAAGUUGAACAUGCAAGGGGAAAGUCCUGGAAUAAUAAAGAUUCACUUGAAUUCUGAUAGGCUAUUCUAUCUGCAAAAGUUUUGUGUCCCACCUAACAAUCCUUGCAUUUAAAAAGAAAUAAAGAAUUUAUGGAUUGGGGAAAAGACAAGAUAGAGACAAGUGUAGUAGAUUUCUAUUGUGUCAACUUAGCAAUAUUUCCCAGAUUCCCUUCCCUGCCUAGGACAAGGAGGAUUUGGAGCAGAAGAGUCAUUUGCAUGACAGAAUGGGAACAGUUGUCUUUGUGCUCCAAGAAGACUUCACCCACAUUGUGCACAUUAGGAUCAUGAGUGAAACCCUAGAUGAGAAUAUUAUUUCCUCCUCAGCAUUUCAUCAAUUAAGAAUCACAAAGGAGACUAGGAUAGGACAAGUGUCUUCAGAGAAAUCUUGAAAGGACUCAAGGCAGGGUUCAUGUGUCUGAAGCUGUCUGUCCUCCCACACGGGCUACAGCAACUGACCAGCUACGGAGCAGAGAUGACAAAGAAUGAAAGUCCCCAUGUUUCAAAAGGCAUUUUAAAUUUCAAGAAAUAUCUGUGAGCUGCAAAGAAAAUGCUGGGGGAUCAGCACCUGAUAAGCAGCUGAUUGUUGAGAGCCACAGCCAAAGGGGCCCCAGCAAACUUCCAGCUGCCGGCUGAUGAUUGGCUCACAGCGGCCCCAGCAACAUCUAGCUGAUUGGCUCCUCUGCGGUGAUGCUCACUGGGCUGUUUCCCUGCCCUUUCAGACCACGGAGCUGCUCAUUGGGGGACUUUUUUGGCUCCGCCCACGUGACCCAGCCAAUCGGCCUCAAGAGCAGGAGGAUUGUGGGAGAGGGAGAGAAGCUUGUGUGGGAGAGAGAGGCUUGUGGAAAGCCGGUGGUGGCAGUUGAGGCUCUGAGGGUUUUUCCUGAGAGGCUGUUUUGUUUGGCGUGUGUGGUUCUAAAAAUAAAGUUAGUUUCUUUUGACAAGUGGCUCCUGAUUGUGCCCAGCCAGACUGCGGCAGCUGAUCACACUCUUGACAAUUGACAUGGACAUUAUGGUGUGUCAUCUAAGUGACAGGAUUGAAAUAGCUAGACUCCCUGGAACCAGAGGGCCAGAUCCGGGCAAAAUUAGCUCAGCUUUCCAUCAGGGUGAUGACUAUCAUCUUUUGCACUCCCUUGGGUGUUUUAUAGGCAAGGAUCUUAGGGAGAGUUUGCCAACAAUUAAUCCCAGUAGAGGCCUGCAGGUUUCAGGGUGGACAUUCAUUCAUUUUAUUGUAGUCCAGAGCACGUUUUACAUAAGGCUGUCUGCAAGAACUGAGUCUGUGAAACCAUCUGCAAUAAUAUUACGCCUUUUAAUCAGUGACCCUAUUAAGGAUCUCAUGUCCCAUGCUGAUCCCAAAUAUAGAGACAGUGGAGAUGGCUGUAAAGCAAAGCCUUUACUGAGCCUGGGAAAUGCCUAGGCAUCUUACCACCACACUGCCUACCAGCCCCAGUUAGAAACGUGAAAUCCACACCCUGAAACUUAGUCUAAGGCAGAACUGCCUUAAAGAAAAUGUGUUAUAAACAGAAUAGUAUUUUAUGUUCAAAUUUUAGUUCUAGAGAGAGAGAUCAACAAAAGGAGUAAUUUGGCAAACAGGGUGGAAAUGGCAUAGUUUCCCCUGGAAGGUAGCUUUCAUUUUGCCCAGAAAAGAGAGAGUCAUAAAAGUCACAAAAUCAUAAAAAUCACAUAAAAUAACAACCAUUUCAAUGAAAGUUUACACCAAGUAUAUUUUUGUUUGUCAACACUAGAUUAAAAAUCAUCUAGACCAAUUUCCUUAUUUUAUAAGAAAAAAAAAGUAGACUUUUCCCCCUAAUAAUCAACCACAUAAGAACAGAUUUCCACUGGAGUGGAAGAAGAGGGUAGAUCCAGGAGGGCAGAGGUCUCAAGGAUCCUCUAGGAGCAAACCAGAGACUAGAGUCAAGACAUGAAAAGAGAAAUAAGAAUGCUGGAAGAUCAGAUAGAAGAAAAGCAGAAGCAAGGUUGCUUAUUCCACUAGACUAAAUUCCACCUGCUCUGGAAGGUGGCAAAAAAGAAAAAAAAACAAAAACAUGAGGAUUCUAGGUCCACAAUGAAGCCAGAAAAUUUUAUAAUCUUAUACUGAAUAAAUUUGCAAAAGCUUCUUUGGAACCUGGAAAGUACUCCCACGAAAUGUGGCGAAACACACAAGUUCUUUGUCAGACAUUGCCUUGCCCUGUGUCCUCUCAUGAUAAUGUUAAUAUACAAAUGAAUGAAAAUGAAGGAUAUGACUCCUAGGGGGUUAGGCAGGGAGUCCCAUAAGCUUUCCUGUGUGAAAUUAGAAUGGUAAACAUAUAAUUAAAAUAUGUACUACUUUGCAAUUAAAAGAGUGCCAUGCCCAAGCUUUCUGACAAUGCCAUAUAGUAUCACUUCGCUUCUAAAAAUUCCUUUCACAGUUGGCUCUAUAGAAGUUUACAUUCUGCACUAUUCUUAGCUGUCAGCUAGAUCUACAGCAGUUGGAGGAUUCCGGGGAGUCCUCAUCGCCAAAUUCCAGGACACGUAGCUAAUGCCACUGUUUCAAAAUUCUCUUGUUAAAAUAAAUGCAUGAUCUAGAAGGUUUUAGUUAUCAAAAGAAUGGUACUUUUAAAUAUAAUACAAGCCAAAACAAAAAUUUUUCUAUAGCAAACUCUUAAAGUAACAACCAUUUUAAUGAAAGUUUAUACCAACACAGUAAUGGUGUUGACAAACAGUAAUAUAUUUUUAAACAAUAUCAGAAUAAAUAAAUGAUUCCAGUACCAAAAUUACAAAGACAAUUAAUAUUAUUUAGUAGAGCGAUUUGAUCAAUGUAUUUAAUAGGCCAUGUUGAAUACAUGUCUGUUUCAGAUUAAUUCUUGAUCAGAUAUUUGCUGAGCACCUUCUGAACAAAACAGUCAAAAUUGCCAGACUUCCUGAAGUUUACAUUGUAGGGUGGAUAUUAAAAAACAAAACAUUUUUAAAAUAGAGAAAUCAUAGUGUAUUAGGUGACAAACACUGUGCAAAACCAGAAUGAUUUUGGAGGGUCACAGGGGAGAGGUCAAACCAUGUUAAAUAGGGUGGCCUGCGUGUACCUUAUUAAGAAGGGAAAGCCCAAGAAUGCUUACAGAAAGAGAGGGACCGGCCAUGUGGGUAUUUAACAGCAUUCCAGACAGAAGCCUGUGUAAAGACUCUGAGGUGUAGCAUGUCGGCAUGUACGAGUAUCAGAGGAAGAGUAUCAAGAGACUGAGGCAGCUCAGUUGGUACAGGACUUUGUACACCGCUGUUAGUACUUUGGCUUUUAUACUAAAGGUUCUGAACAAAUGAAUGACAUGUUUGUGCUCUAGAAUGAUCAUUUCAACUGCUUUGUUGAAACACGUGGGAUGGAGAAAGAAUGGAAGCAGGAAAACCAAUUAAGGGGUGAAAGACAAAUAAAUUGCUCAUAGUAGGGUGCUAAUAGUAGAGAUAAUAAGAAUUGAUCAAAUAAAAUAUAUAGUGAUUUAAAGGUAGGAAAAAUGGAAUUUUCUGACUUGAUGAGGGUAUAAGAGAAAGAGAAAAUUCCAGGGUAUCUUAGAAUUUGACCCUGAGCAAUCAAAAAGGUGGUAUCACCAUCAACUGGGAAGGGGAUGGCUGGGAAUAAAGUACUGCUAAGUUGAAGAUCUGAUGUUCCAUUUUGGGAUAUAUUGGAUUUAAGAUAUUAUUUGCACUCACAGGGGAAAUUUCAACAAGGCAGUGAAUGGAGGCAACUGUUUCUAAAUAUUGCCACAAAAGCCCAAAAUGGGAUGGUAACUGGCAAGUUUGAGAGAGGCAGCAGGAAACUUUGGUUUACAUCGCUUUAAUAUAAGAAAUAUAGGGCUGGGGUUGUGGCUCAGCGGUAGAGUGCUUGCCUCACAUAUGCGAGACCCAGGGUUCGAUCCUCAGCACCACAUAAAAAUAAAUAAAAUAAAGUUAUUGUGUCCAACUAUAACUAAAAAAUAAGUAUUAAUAUAUAUAUAUAUAUUAUAUAUAAUAGAUAUAAAAGUAUAUUGGUAUAUUUGUAAUAGUAUAUUUAUAUAAAUAUUAAGGAUGAUAAUGUUCCAAGAAGGUGAAAACCUGAUGAAUCAGGAGAGACAGAGGAUUGCUGGAACAAUUAUCUUGAGUAGAUAAGAAAGGAUGGGAUCCAGCACACAAGUAGAAGGAGUAGGCUUCUCUGGAAGAAGCAGCAAUAGAGACAAGCACAUACAAUAAAGUUUAUGGAGGCAGAUGCUGGUAGAUGGGUAAAUAUAAUGGUUGGAGUCUAAAGAAUUUUCUUUCAGUUGUGAUUGAUAAUGAUGGAGAAGGGGUAUAAGGUUUAAAAAAAGAGAUCUAAAAAAAAAUUAACUAGAAAAGAGGAAAAAGUAAAUGGAUUAGGGAAGCAUAAUUCCAGACAGCACUAAGCAUGAAGCACAAGCUGGCUGGUGCAUACCUGUAAUCCCAGCGUCUCUGGAGGCCAAGGCAGGAUGAUGGAGAGUUCAAAGCCAGCCUCAGUAACAGCAAGGUGAUAAGAAACUCAGUGAGACCCUGUCUCUAAAUAAAAUACAAAAUAAGGCUGAGGAUGUGACUCAGUGGGUGAGUAGCCCUGAAUUCCAUCUCUAGUACCCCCACCCCAAAAAAGAAGAAUAAAGCACAAGCCUCAGAGGCCCACCUGAAGUACGUAAUAAUUAAUUUACAUUUGGACUCUAUUCAAAUUUUACAUUAAGGCAAGAUCGGUUUUUCUCCUGUCAUGUUCACAUUCAUUGGUCCAGAUACACAGUAGACAAGAGAAAUGGACUUACAGCUUUGGCAAGGAAGAACAGUGAUGCCCAACCAGGCAGGGAAUUGAAGAUAUAUGCAAGGGGGUGACUAAAAUGGUUGAAAAGGAAUUUAAGCUUGGUCAAGAGAGAAGAGAGCCCAUUAGGAGGAGAGUAACAGAGUGAUAAGUAGGAGAAUUAAUGGGCUUGAGAACUAGAUGGGAUCUGGGAAAUGUUUUGGAUCAUUGUUCCAGGAGUGGGCUAGAAGGGAGGAAAUGGUCGUCAUAGAGUGGGGAGAGAUUAUGCAGAUGUUACAAUUAUGGGUAAUCCAAAAUUCAGGAUAAUAAUCUUUUUGUUUGUUUGUUUCUUUUUUACCCAAGGAAAGGUAUUGUAGAAAAGAAAAAUAUAAUGUGAGCAGAAGAAAAUGAGGAAUGAUUAAACACAGUUAUAUUGAAAGGAUCAGCAGGCUUUCAAGAUCAGCUGUUAAAUUGCUUCCUUUGGAUUUCCAUCAGUAUAGAGAAAAUAAUGACAGGUGGCAGCCAGUGUAAGAAAAAGACUUUAUUUCUCAAAAUAAACUAUCUUCAAUGACUUCACCCAUUAGAGAUUUAUUUAACAUUCUUCUUUUGAAAUGUAUUUAUUGUAUCAGUCAUCUAUAUCUUAGUAUAAAUUGUGGUGAUUAGAAUAGUCCAGGGCUUUCUGAUCCCUAACUCAGAUCUUUCCAAUGAGAAAGUGGAAGUUCUCAACAGAAAAAAAUGAAAAUACUGACUGAUGUUUAUAUCAGCUUUAUGCAAAAUAGCCAAAAAGUAGAAACAAUCCAAAUGUCUAUCAACUGAUGAAUAAAUAAAAUGUUGUCUAUUCAAACAAUGGAAUAGUAUUUGGUAAUUAAAAUAUGCAAAGUUCUAAUAUAUGCCACAACUUGGAUGGAAUUUUCAUUAUGCUAAAUAAGUCAAACAUAACCUAGUGAGACCCUGUCUCAAAAUAAAAUUUAAAGAAAACAGGGAUGGGAUGUGGCUCAGUGGUAGGAUGUGACUGGGUUCAAUCCUCAGUACACAAAAAAAAAAAAAAACAAAGCCAUAUAUUGUUUGAUUCUACAUAAAUGAAAUGUCCAGAAGUGACAGGUCAAUAGAAAGUAGAUUAAUGGUUGCCUAGGGUUACAGGUAUGGUGAUUGAGUGUGAUAACUAUGGGUUAGGGGGUUUCUUUGGUGGUAAUAUAAAUGUCCUAAAAUUGUGAUGAUAACGUACAACUCUGUAUAGAUACUAAAAUAAAAUUGGAAUUUAUAAUUAUUUGGGUGGAUUGUGUAAUAUCUGAAUUAUACCUCAAUUAAAUUGUUUUUGAAAGAAAGAGAAAAGAAAUGUGAUGAAAUGAAACUCUGGGCUGGGAUGUAACACAUGGUUAGCAUACCCAAGACCUUGGGUUCAAUCCCCAACACCAGAGAAAGAAAGAAAGGAAGGAAGGAAGGAAGGAAGGAAAGAGAAAAACUGUGAAUGAGUUCAAGUGAGCUUUGGACAGCUGAAGGGCAGUAUUAAAAAAGACCACAUUUAAAAAAAAAAAAAAACUUGGGAAACACUGAAAGAAGCUCUCUCUUUCUUGGAAUUUGACCAGCUGAUAAUUAACAUGUGAAUCUCUCUGGAAUCUGCUCUGCCACCAUCUUGGGCCCUUCUGCUGCCCAAGGUUGCUAAAGCUUCCCCAGAAGAAACACACCCUGACCAAGCAAACCCAGAGCUUUUAGAGAAUAGUGUAUAGAGCUCAGUCUCCAAUUUCAGGCAGAAAUUAAAUUCUCACUGCUGCAGGCUAUGUGUGUGACUUUGGAUAGAUCUUACUGUUCUGGUCUCCAUGUCCAGUGGGAAAAAAAUGGGAAAGUACCCAUCUUAUAGUAUCAUUGCAAGAAUUAAAUAAAAAAGACAAAGAACUUAUUGCAAUAACUGGCACAUAAUGACUGCUUACUCAUAAUAACAACAAAAUUUUAAGAAUGUACAGCUGGAUGGCUAGAGAUGCCAAUAUAUUUUAAGGUGCAUAUUCUAGCACUCUCUAUUUAUGCCCCCAGGCCAGGCAAUCAGAAGGAAAGAAAAGUAGUGCAUUCAAGUGAGGUCUCUUUCCCCGCUUCCUUCUCUCCCCAUCAAAUACUUCCUCUGUGACAAAUACUCCUGUCUCUGAGUGAAAUUGAUCCUUGCCUUCAAAAAGAAAUGGUAAUGUCACAGGGGCAGCUACUUUUGUACCCAAAUGUAGAACAAUUGCUAAGUUGUUACCUUUGGUGAAAUGAAUCAGGGCUGCUGCCAUCAAAUGGCCUUUGUAAACCUGUGAAAAAAAAUUCACCAAAAAUAUGUCUUAAUUUGACACUAACAGUUCAACAAGCAAGCAAUGCUUAUGCAGAUUUACGCUCUAACAUUUAUUUCAUUACUUAAUAUAUACACAAAAAUAAUAAUUAUUUUAUAAGUAAUAAAAUAACCACUUUCAAUUACUUCUUAUUCAUAAUUAUUAUUAGUUAAUAUUUGCUUACUAUUUGUUAAUCAUUAAAGUAGCACAAUGUGCUAUGGAGUCACAUACAAGAGAAGGAUUAGUUCUAUUAGCCCUGUCAGGCUUCAGAGAGGAGAUAUGCUUUCAAGAGGCCUUGGAAGGAUAAGAAGAAAUUCUAAAGCUAAGAAGCGGGCAUGAGGACAGCAGUUAACUAUCUGUCCACUGGAAACCACGUAAUGGAUUCCAGAGUACAACAACUCUAACUCCAGAGGCUCACCCCAGAAUCCAAUGCCCAUGUAACUGGUUGAAGUGAAUAAAGACAAAAAAAAAAAAAAGGUCGUUUGAUUUGACAGUGAAGACACUGGGUGAGAUGCAUUUUCUGAGGAAGCUGUUGGCUCUGUUAGAUGUAAGAAUUACCUAAAUUAUUUCUCUUUUCAUGUAGACCACUUCUGCAGAACUGAGAUAAAUUCUUUAGUAAUUUCUUUGAGUGGGAAGCCUUCAAAAAGACAUAAGCCCAUGGAAUUACUAAAAGGAAAGUCACUUUUCAUUGGGGAGAGGAAUUUAUUAUCUCUGAAAUAAUUAUGCUUAUAGCUGGAGCCUGACUAUAAAAAUCUUAAGUCUUUUCUUUUUUCUUUUCUUAAAGUACCACCAAUUACCUGGAGGCGAUCUCCCCUAGUUGUGAGAUAUUUAGUCUAAUUUUUUAAAGGAAAUAAAUUCUUCUCUAUGCUCAAUUUUCAUGCUCAUUAAGUGUUUACAGGGCAAAAGAAAAAAAAUGUUUGCAUAACUUAUAAAGGAACAAAUCAUAACAAAGUACUUAGUUAAAAUUUAUAAGUCCAUAACUAUGAAAAGAGGAAUCUGCUUCAGAAAGAAACCAAGUUUUCAGCUCGGAAAAAUUCAAAUGUUAUCUCCUCAGAAAGGCUUCCUUGACCUCUCUAAGUUAACAGCACAUCCCACCAUCGCCCCCCAAGCCCUAACCAUUAAACCUCUUAAAAACCCUGCUUUGUUUUCUCUAUAGCAUUUAAUCCAGAACUUUGUUCACUUUUCUCUUGUCUUUCACCACAAAAUCUAAGGUCCAAGAGAGCAGACACAUGCCCAUGUUGCUCAGCUUUCUACCCCAACCUUAUCCAGUACCUGAUUCAUGGUGCACUAUAAAUUUUUGUUGAAGGCAUAAAAUUAACCAAGCCACAGCAAUAAUGAUCUUAAGGUGAAUGGCACUGAAAGGUUUCAUCCUGUGAACAGAACGUGAAGUUAACAUAUGAUUCCCAGCAACUCCAAGUAAUUCCAUCCUUUCAAACUAACCACACAGGCACACACAAAUGACCAGCUAACACACAGGUGGUAUGUAGAAUAAAAUUUCCAUAGCAGGCCUACUGAUUUCAAGCUCCUUCCUUAGGGAAAGGAUCACUUUUUUUUAGUAGUACUGGCCACUCAGUAAAGCAUGAAUGCUUGAUUAAGCUCGCAUUCCAUUUUAGACUGUGGGAAGUGUUUUCCCCACUAAAUAUAUCAUUCAUUUGACCUAAACACCUGGAAAGGUGAUAAACUACUAAAUAUAUCUAGACUCAUUUAGUUAUGUUUUCCCCAAGAAACAUAAUUAGUUAUGUUUUCUGUGGUUAAAGGGAGGAAGGGUGGAAGGGGGUGGACAAAAUGGGCUGCAUUUAAAUAGUGAGGAUCCAUAGAGGCAGCCACCAAGAAUUUUAUGCACAUUUGGAUGAAAAGGAAAAAGUGAAACUGGCCAUGAUAUGGGAUUAAUUAUGCAUGCUGCUUGAGUCAGAAUGUUGACUACAAGCUCUAAAUGUGUUAGCACUUCUUGGUUUGGUGAAAAGAACCAAGAGCUAUUGACAAGAACAGAAAUAAAAGCUGCAAUAAUAUUGCUGUGGGAAGCAAGGACUCUCAGCUGUUAUAAUAACACUUUAUCCAAAUGACUUUAGGAAAUCCAAGUUUUUCUUCAAAUCAUUUUUGUUAUCUGUAGUGUUUAAUUUACAUCUUACUAUUGCAAUGGCCACUGCACAAUGAAAGGUCUUUCCCAAAUCCAGUCCUAAACAUCCAACUGCAAUUAAUUUUUGCAUGUUGAGCUCUGUCUUAGCUUUUUUACUGUUGUGACUAAAAGGAUCUGACCAGAACAAUUUUAGAGAGGAAAAGUUUAAUUAAGGGCUCAGGGUUUCAGAGGUCUCUAUCCAUAGACAGCAAGUUCCAUUUCUCCAGGCUCCAAGUGAGGCAGAACAUCAUGGUGAGAGUGUGUCCGCUUUCUCACUGCUGCGACUGAAAGACCCUAUAUGACAACUGUAAAGGAGGAAAGGUUUACUUAAGGACUCACAGUUUCAGAGGCCUUAGUCCAUAGAAGGUCAGUUCCAUUCCUCAGGGCUUGAGGUGAGGACAUGAUGGCAGAAGAGUGUGGCAGAGAAAACCAGCUCACAUGAUGAUCAGAAAGCAGAGACAGAGAGACUCUACUCUUCAGAUACAAAAUAUAUACCCCAUAGCCAUGUCCCCAAUGAACUACUUCCUCCAGCCAUACCACCUGCUUCCAGUUACCACUCAGUUAAUUUCAUCAGGGAUUAAUUCACUGAUUAGGUUAAGGGUAUGACCCAAUCAUUUCUCCUCCAAACUUUCUCGCAUUGUCUCACACGUGAGCGAUUGGCGGACACCUCACAUCCAAAUCCUAACAAACUCAUAGCCUGCGAAGGCACACCUCUCCUAAAAGUCGAAGUCCUUUCAGUCCCAAGAGGCUCCCACACUCUCCUAGUCCUUUGCUGGAAUUCUCUAUCCAUUCAAUGGUGACCUCUUCUAUAGCAACUGUUCAUUCAAUCAUGCUGGUCUCCUUCUCUCUGUUCUCCACUUACUCCUGCUUAGGGCUGCUUACCAAUUUGAGGCAUCCUGUCUUGCUUGGUCUUUAGAAGUGUUUUAGAAGGAAAGUAUCCUCUGUUGAUUUUUACAGCUCUUUCUUCUCAGAACUAAAGUCAGUUUCCUUCACAUUAAAAUCAGACACUGGGCUCAUACACAUAAAAGUACUCCUCCCAAAUAACUGAGCAGUUUCCCAGACUCAGGUAUGCAUCUUUUCAACAAUCUCCUUUAUCAAGAUGAGUUCUCUAUUCAGGAUGUUGCUAGAGGUUCCCAGAGUCCCAGGGAUAAAGGAUCAGUUCCACAAUUAUCUCCUUAUUUCUCCUUGACUCCCACUGGCAAAUGCCUUGAAAAUAUAGCAUCCCCCUCAGGAGUGUGCAGAUUAGGUUUCCUCCUACCCUACACCACAGUUUUCCUGCAAAGGUGAAACUUUUAACGUGAACUUGGUGCCUUGGAAGCAAAUGAAGGUAAGGAAUAUGAAAGCUCAGAUUAGUAGUCCAAAAUUCCUCAUUUACUGACAAAUCUUACAUGAAAUAGAGAAAACACCUACUGAUUAAAAAACAAAGAAGUCAACUAAAGUUGGUAGCUUGAGUUUCAGCAAAUAAAAAAAAAGAAAGAAAAAAAAAUGAACAUGAAUCAGCUAACAUUUAGGACUUCUCUGUAGGAGUGAAUAUUUCUCCCAAAUAGAGAGGUCAGUGGGCUGCCAUGUAACAUCUAUUCUAUCAGCUAGAACAUUUCGCUCUGUAGUAUAAUGGAGCUUGUAAAUAAAGCUAAACUCAGAGUUGUUUCCCAAGGGGAGAUCAUGAAGUCUGCUCUGGUGGAAUGUCAAGACGUAAGGGAAAAAGAGAUCAUCAAUAAACAAAUGCACAGAACUGAAUAGUUACAUUCUUUUUUGUGGACAAACCCGUCUUUAUUUCAGGCCCUGUGUUAGGAAGUCACGGCUUCUCCUCUUUAUAAAUAGCUUGGCAUUUGGAGGCUACCAUUUGUAAUGGCUUAUGAAAGCCUCUGUACCUUUCCCACUCUUGUGUACCUAAUGCAUACCAUUUGUUUGCUUUCCAUUGUCAGCCUGUACAUUUGCAUUUGGUAGAUUUGUGGGAAGGUGGAGAUGACCCAGCAGUCACACAAAGCUCAACACAAAACCAAGGUGUUUGCAUUGCUCAAGAAGCUUUCUACCUUCAGUAGCUCCCAGAAAUAUAAUCAUCCACUAGGCCAUAGUAAGAUACUCUUUCUUGAUUCCCCACAAAGACAGAGUUAGUAAAUUAAAAGAAAGGAAAAUGGACCUGCCCCACACCCUAAGCAGUUGAGAUUUUUAUUUCAUUCAUAUCCAUUUCUAAAAGACACAUGUAAAUAAAGGAAGGCAAUAAGAAUAGAGCUUGAUAAAAUCAAAUUGUCAAAUGGUCAAAGCAUAGUAAGUUAAUAAAGCUGUGAACAAAAUUAGCCAGAGAUAUUCAUCUAGCUUGACCUUUGUUUCCCAAAUGAAUUACUAUUCUUACUCUAUUCAGGGACUACUUUUAAAGGGCUGGUUACUAUGGGGGUACCACAAUAGCUUCAGAUUUCAUUUUUUAAGAAUUCAAAGGUCCAUGAGGAAGAAAGCAGCCUGCUCUUUGGAAUUUCACUUGGAAGGAAACUUACACUUAAAUAGUCUUCAAGUUUUCUUCUGAAAACAUUUUUAUGCUCUAAGAUUAAAAUUAAACAUAUACAAAGAAAGAUUUGUAUUGCUGAUGUUUUUUAAAACUGAUACGGGUAAAAAGGAGCAGCUACCUCUGUCACUAUCUGGCUAUGUUCUAAGCCUUCAAAUUGCUGAGGAAGUAAGAUUUCUAGUUAACCUUCAGCUCUAAAAAGGUCCCUACAGAUCUAUUGUGGCAAUCCUAGUUUUUGGAACUUAGUGUUUUGUUUUGUUUUUUUAAAUCUCACCCCACCCACACCACUGCAUGACUACAUAAUGCAAUUCUUUCCGUCUUUGCCCUGAGCACACAUUAAGCAAUCUAACUCCUACACUUAGAAUCUCACCAAAAAGGAAAGGGAAAGAGAGAAGAGGGAAAGAGAGGAGCAGAAGGAGGGAUAAGGUGGGAAGGAAAAUACAGGGUAUGCACACAAAAGAAUUUCACUUGUAUGAUGGAUCUAAUGAUGAAGUAUCCAAGUUUUGUUUUAAUGUUAAAAUAAGGCAAAACUUCUAAACAUAAGAUGUUUGGGUUUUUUUUUAUUAUUUCUUAUGUUCCUUUUUAAAGGCUCACUUAUGACAUACAAUAAACACUGGCAAAGCAUCCAUGUCUCCAGAGAGAGACCCAUUAAAUAUUUUGGAAGUUAACUUUUAGUUGGCAUCUUUCUAAACAUGUAAUUCCCAAAAUCUUCAAGCUAGAAUUACAAUUAUCUGGAACCCAAUCUGUCAGUCAGCAAAGCCUCAGAGCCCUCACUCUUAAUAGUGAAAUGGGCUGAAGGGCAGACACACUGACAGCUGGCUCCUUGCUCGCUCUGCCAUGUAAAUCCACUUUAACAUAACUAGAUCACACCCUAGCUUUUAGAGUGAUGGCUCAGCCCAGAGGCUGUUCUAAUUGGAUAAGCUUAUAGACUAUUUCCAUAAUGACAAAGAAUCAGACGACGUUUUUCCAUGAUUUCCACAGUCAGCCUAAUGGAAAGUCUGCUAGACAGGGAGUGUUACCAUCUGAUGAAUCGGUGCCCUGCCCAAGUCUGGUCAUCUUGCCUCAAUUUUCCUAGGUUGGAAAUGAAGAUAUCCAAUAGCUUCUUUGUCAUGGGGAAGGAAGAGGCUGGUCUUUCUCUAGAAUAAGUCAAUUACAGUAUUAGGUCAUAUGUGUAAAAGAUUCAUGCAGCAAAUGUGAAGACACCAAAAGAAACAACAAUGUGACUGUAAGAUUUGAUAUAGUUUCAAAGAAAGUAGCUAUUAUGCUUCAUGACCAGGUUAAACUAAGUACUCAUUUAAUAUUGCUGUAAAAAAUUUGUAAGAAAUCAUUAUUCCCACCAGUUUACACCUGAAGAAAACUCUUUGACAUAUCAACCAAUAUUCCCCAGUAUAUUCCACUUAUAAAUAGAAAAGUUUAAAAAUAAGCCCAUGUCUCUGAUUCUGGAAUCACCAACAGUUGUUAAUGUAUGGAAAAGAUUAAAGAUUUGAUGUCCAUGACCUAGUUAAGGAUCAUUAAUAAAUAUACAGAGAUACAAAUAUAUUGAUUGUGUGUGUGUGUGUGUGUGAGUGUGUGUGGUCUUUAAAUACUACGUACCUUAUAAAACAAACUGGGAAUUUAUAAACCUCUAUGUGACAAUUUGGUAGUAUGUCAACCUGUCAUCUUCUAGAGAAUCUAUACCUAUAAAGUUUAUUCACCUUGUCUAUGACGACAUAGAAAAUGAGGGGCUAUGACUGUACAAUGUCCCUUCUGCUUCACUACCUCCACCUUUGACUCAUUCUCUUAAUUAGUUAGCUUCUAUGUGUCCACAUCUAAAACACAGCUCAGUGGUCCUCUCAGCCAGCAUGAGUGAGUGGAAGCUGGUCUUCCCUCUGCCCAGAAUCUAACUUUGGACACCUUUCACUUUUCUCCAAGAGUUUACUUGUCUUCUGUUUACCUCCUCACCUCUCUAAUAAAAAGAGCACAUUUUCUUUUUUUUUUUUUUUUUUCUCUUGACAUAUCAUAUUUCAUACAUUAGAUUCCAGUUGGUUAUGAACUCCCAAUUUUACCCCAAAUACAGAUUGCAGAAUCACAUCGGUUACACAUCCACAUUUUUACGUAAUGCCCUAUUAGUAACUGUUGUAUUCUGCUACCUUUCCUAUCCUCUACCAUCCCCCCUCCCUCCCCUCCCAUCUUCUCUCUCUAGAAAGAAACAUUUUCUUAUUUCUCUUUGUCUCCAGCACAUAGCAUGAUGCUGGUUACAUGUCAGCAGAUGUUUAACUAAUUGUGAUGCAUGGGUAGAUGAAAGAUUAAAUGAUAAGGACUCAUAAUGCCAGGCUUCCAUUUAGUGGUGACACACCUUUACAAUUCCAUAUCUAAUACCCGAAUUGCAAUCCUGUGUAUAAACAAAGUGUUCUUUGAAACUCUUGAGGAAUAAAAGUAUUUGAGAUCCAAAUAUUAGCACCAGAAAUCCCCAUGCCCAAAUUUGGGAGCCGAGUAGAGAUGUGGAAUAAACAACUUCUUCAUGGGAAAGAUAGCUCCUCCAUGACCAGUUUCAUUUCUCUAUUUGUAUUUAUGAUCCCAACAUAAAUACAAGUAUUUAUUUUGCUAUGCCAACAAAACCUGAUUGGACUUUAAGAAGAAAGGGGAAAAAGGAAUGUAACAAUUUCAAUAAGGAAAAGGGACCCCAUUUAAUAUUUUUCUUUUUGCAAAUCUAGGACAAAAAUUACCAACUACUCAAAUACUAGAACUUAAAAUCAGUUACCUUUUAAACUCAAAUGACAAACUUAUGGGGGAAAAGUAGAAAUAACUUUGCAAAACAAAAAGCAAAGAAAGAUUGAAUUUUUCAAGUUCAAAAAGCAGCUGAGUACACACACAGAAGGAUCUGGAUAAUUUUAAACAUACAGUUUAGUGUGUGGUAUCAUAUAUCAUGGGUACCAUUCUGAAUACUUUUGGUUUCAGGAACAUUUUUUGGUUCAAAUACCUUAAAUAUCAUUUUGAAUUGACUGGCUAAAAAAAAAGUAUCCAGCGAAGGUAUCAGAUGGAACAGCAUUUUUGAAAACACCCAAACCCAAAAACAAUGCUGAGGGAAGGGCGGCUACCCUACCCUGCUAACAAAGGAAGGAAAGUGAAUAAGGCGAAUGUCCUCAGCAAUGCUCUCACUCUAAACAAAUGCAUUAGAGCUAAACCUAGCGGGUCACUUUUAUCCUGCUCUCUAGUGCGCAUUGUACAGGGGUGUGAAUGCCACAAGAUCUGCACUUAUGCGUAGUAAAUUUAUAGAGGAAAACGCAUUGUGCUGAAACAUCAGUGUACUUGAUCCUCAUGGAAUGAUAACUAUGGACUGCUUGACUUCCAGCUUUUUCUGUAGUUUGCUUUUGUUUUUAUUUUUUGGUGGGAUUGUGGCACAGGGCCUCACACCUGCUAGAAAAGUGAGCUACAUUCCCAGCCCCUUCUCUAGCUGAGAUAAAGUCAUGUUUGCUAUGAUGCUUAUUAUUUUUAUGUUCCUUUGUAAGCUGAGGAAGAGGGAACUAAAAUACAAGGUCACAAAUAUGUUAAAUAUUGACAUAAAUCUUGCUGGGCUCAGUGGCACACACCUGUAAUUCCAGUGAUUCAGGAGGCCAAGGCAGGAGGAUUGCAAGUUCAAGGCCAGCCUUGGCAACUUACUGAGGCUCUGAGCAACUUAGCAAGACUCUGUCUCAAAAUAAAAAAAAAUAAAAGGGUUGGUGAUGUGGCUCAGUGGUAAAGCACCCCUGGGUUUAAUCCCCAGUACCAAGUUUUGAUAUGGUAUUGGAUAACUGAGGCUCUGUUCAAAAACAGUUGCAUCUUUUAUCUCUAAAGUCAAACAAUUGGUUUAAUUAAAUAUCCUUUUCCACUAAAUGGAGCACUUGUUGACCUCUGAGAGAUUCAGCCUGAAAGAAUUAUAUAGAUGUUCAAAGAGAAAGCAAUGGCUUAACCACAAACACUGUCCUACUAUUUGUUAGAUUUUUUUUUUGUA